UGGGGAAUAUUGCGCAAUGGGGGGAACCCUGACGCAGCCAUGCCGCGUGAAUGAAGAAGGCCUUAGGGUUGUAAAGUUCUUUCGGUAUUGAGGAAGGUUGAUGUGAUAAUAGCACAUCAAAUUGACGUUAAAUACAGAAGAAGCACCGGCUAACUCCGUGCCAGCAGCCGCGGUAAUACGGAGGGUGCGAGCGUUAAUCGGAAUAACUGGGCGUAAAGGGCACGCAGGCGGUUAUUUAAGUGAGGUGUGAAAGCCCUGGGCUUAACCUAGGAAUUGCAUUUCAGACUGGGUAACUAGAGUACUUUAGGGAGGGGUAGAAUUCCACGUGUAGCGGUGAAAUGCGUAGAGAUGUGGAGGAAUACCGAAGGCGAAGGCAGCCCCUUGGGAAUGUACUGACGCUCAUGUGCGAAAGCGCGGGGAGCAAACAGGAUUAGAUACCCUGGUAGUCCACGCUGUAAACGCUGUCGAUUUGGGGGUUGGGGUUUAACUCUGGCGCCCGUAGCUNACGUGAUAAAUCGACCGCCUGGGGAGUACGGCCGCAAGGUUA
rnacentral:rRNA from 1 species